UUCAUUGGGGAUGGGUGGCAGAGCCUAGUUUGUUGGGCUUGGCAAGUCCUAACGUGUUCACCCUAAACACUCUGGUAAUUAUAUUAGGCUACAAAAGAGUAUACAUGCCUUGAAUUGCCUUCAAUAAGCUGAGUGGAUAACACUGUCACCUAGCUACAAAAGCUAACAGUGUGGUGAGAGUCACUGAGGACAGGAGACACUUUCUGAUGAUGGGUGGGCAGAGGUGCAGAGAGCAUGUAGGAAGUGGAAGAAGGUGCAUGAGGCUUAUAUCUGGAAGGAAGAGUGCAAUCUGAUCAGUAAAUGAAGACAAUCGGGCAAGAACACAAUAAGAAGAAAGGACGAAGGCAGGAAAUUGCCUGGGUGAUUGCAGAAGGCCACUGUUGCUGACAUUGGGAUCCAGCUUCUUUGGCCUUCCAACUUGGACAGAAGGCUGGCGGCUCUCUAGAAAUUCUCCAGCUAUUAUCACCAACUUGAGACUGUUAUGACACCCAGUCUCAGGGAUGUCAGCUCCGCAGGGUGAAGACCAUCAUCGUUGGGUUUCCCAGACUGUGUUGUAUGUCUGAACUCCAUUCUCCAGUCAGCAGGCAGCCAAUCCAACAUACUCCCUUUGAAUAUAUAAAAAUAUAUCAGUUCUACUCCUCUAAAGAAACCUCACUCCCACACAUGGCAGUUGUAACUCCUGCUAGACCAGUGGUUCUCAACCUUCCUGAUGCUGUGACCCUUUAAUACAUACAGUACCUCAUGUUGUGGUGACCCCCCCAUGAUACAAUUAUUUUCAUUUCUACUUCAUAACUAUAAUUUUGCUACUGUUAUAAGUUGUAAGGUAAAUAUCUGUGUUUCCCCAUGGUCUUAAGUAACCCCUGUGACAGGGUCAUGACCAGGGUUGAAAGCCCCUGUGCUAAUCGCUGUUCCUUUCUUACAGAAAUAGGGCAAGGAUCGGAUGAAAUAAUAAGUAACUCAAUGGCACUUGGUCCUUAAAGAAUAUUUAAUAAGUGAUAAUCGUUGCUACCAUUUUUGUGUUCCAUAUAAUAUAUAUAGUUCUAUGAUGCA